rnacentral:sRNA from 1 species
UGCAUUGAUUAGGGUACAAUUCCCUGGC